CCCCCCGGUUCUCUCUCCCUAUUGAAGAUAUGCCCUGAAAACACCAUUCUAACGCCAUUAGCAACGAUGAAAAAGGGGAAAAUCAAAUAAAAAAAGAAUUUAAUUAAGAAAAAUAAUAUAUUUUUUUAAAAUUUCGGGUUUGUUGAAGAUUCAAUUUUUUUGUAUCAAUCUCAUUCGCAUAUGCAUAUGCAUGCGUAUGUAUAUAUAGAACAGUGGCUUUAUUUGUAAGUCUUCUCUACAUUUUUUUUUUUUGCUUGCUUGCUUUAUUUUGCGUCUUUAUAUUUUCAAUACUAUGGAGGCUUGAAUUUCAAGUUGAAUUUUCUUACAAGUUUUUUUUUUUUCUUCCUCCAAGUCUAGUAAAAUUUUCGAGGGAUUUAAGGCCUUCUUCGAAGAUUAUUGUUUUUAAUUUGAGAUUUGUCUUGAGCGAUCAAUCUGUAUUCUUGUACUCAUUUAGAAAAAAAAAAAUAAAGAACAGUUGAAAAUUUGUGAAUGGUGAUUUUUCACAUGGUUUUGAAGUAUAUGCUGGAUUGAAUUUUCUAUUCAUAACUUGAGGAACUAGCUCUGGAAUUCCUGAAACUGUAAUUUGAUAGAGGACGGAAUUUUUUCCAUGAAAUAACUUGAAAUUUGUGGAUGCUAUGAGUCUUUUUGGGAUAGUUUAAUACUUGGGGUGGUGGGGGGCGGGAGAGGCUGGGGUUGCAAAGAUGAGUUGCAGUAAAAGCAGAGGCAAAGAGCAUGAUAAGUGCGAGAAGCCUGCGAGGAAAUCAGUCGAAGGGGUGUUGUCUCAGAAUGGAUCGAUUGUGGCCUCCCCACGUUUAAUCAUCGAUGAAAAUGUGCUUAUUGACCCAAAAUCCCUAUUUAUUGGGUUGAAAAUUGGAGAGGGAGCUCAUGGCAAAGUAUAUCAAGGAAAGUAUGGGGAUCGAAUUGUUGCCAUCAAAGUUCUCAACUGUGGCAACACAUCAGAAGAAAGAGCUAUGCUUGAGAGUCGUUUUAUUAGGGAAGUGAUGAUGAUGUCCAGAGUAAAGCAUGAAAACCUUGUUAAGUUUAUCGGAGCAUGUAAAGAUCCUUUGAUGGUGAUAGUUACAGAACUUUUACCAGGAAUGUCACUCAGAAAGUAUUUGUCCAGCAUGCGUCCAAAGCAGUUGGACAUUCACAUGGUGUUAAAUUUUGCUCUUGACAUUGCUCGAGCCAUGGACUGUUUACACACAAAUGGGAUUAUACACAGAGAUUUAAAACCUGACAAUUUGUUGCUCACUGCCAAUCACAAGUCUGUGAAGCUUGCAGAUUUUGGUCUUGCCAGAGAAGAAACUGUAACUGAGAUGAUGACUGCAGAAACUGGGACAUAUCGCUGGAUGGCACCAGAGUUGUAUAGUACUGUGACACUUCGUCAAGGGGAGAAGAAGCACUACAAUAACAAAGUUGAUGUUUACAGUUUUGGUAUUGUCCUCUGGGAAUUACUGACAAAUCGCAUGCCAUUUGAGGGAAUGUCAAAUUUGCAGGCUGCUUAUGCAGCUGCAUUCAAGCAAGAGCGGCCUAAUCUUUCUGAAGACAUCCCAACAGAUCUAGCAAUCAUUAUACAGUCAUGCUGGGUUGAGGAUCCUAAUAUGCGACCCAGUUUCAGUCAGAUUGUUCGGAUACUCAAUGAAUUCCUCUCCACACUUCCUCCGCAGUCUCCGCCUUUGUCUGAACCUAACCCUGUGGAAGCAAUGACAAGCAAUGGGGCUAUUACUGAGUUUUCUGCUCGAGCAAGAGGAAAAUUUGCUUUUCUUCGCCAACUUUUUGCUGCAAAGAAGGCCAGGAGCUAAGAAUAACAGGUAUAAUUUUUUAGAAGAUUUUGCCAUUGCCAACAUGGGAAAGGCCAAAACAUGUACAUGUAAAGUUCCUUCCCUUUAUUCUUGGUAAGGGAUGAAAAUUACUGAACCGAUAUAAUGUUUAGCUAGGAAACAAUAAAAGAAAUUAGAAAAAGCAGUUGACCACAUAGUAGAAGAUGUUCUGCAUACCUUCUUGUGAGUAUAUUCGUAUAUUCUGCUUUGGAAAUUUUCAGAAUGGAUAUCUGGUGGAUUCUGGAACCACCAAAUUAGGUCAUCCUGAAUUCAUUUAGAAGACACUGUAGAGAGGCAGAAACUGGUGGAGAUUCCAACUUUGUAGGCAAAUGUUAGAGCUCGUUGAUGGAUGAGGCUGAUUCUCCCGACCGUUAGGGAUUGUGGAGCCAAGUGUAGUGCGCAAUUCCAUGUUUGGGAAUGUACAAUCGACAAUUUGAAUGAAGAAAAAGAAGCUAAAAUCUUUACUAUUGUACCAGACAUGCCCUAAACUAUUUCAUGUCAUAGGAGAAUCAUUGAGAAGACGUCUCUAACACAAGAAACUUACAGGCUGACAAUAAAUUCCACGGUAUAUUGUGCUUGUAAUCUUCAUGUCGAUGCAGUAGUCAUUGAGGCUGCUUUGUAAAGUGUGCCAUUUAUCUGCUUCUAUUUUGGAACUCUUAACGUGAAACAAGGUCAUUACAGGAUGAUAAAGAUGGUCCAUUUUUACGUC